UACAGAGGAGGUGUACCCCACUAAUCUAAGAGCUCUGGGUAUAGGACUUGCCUCGUGUUCUGCCAGAGUAGGAGGGAUAAUUUCACCGUACGCAGCACUUUUUGGAACUCAUAUCCCCUGGGGACCAGGAGUGGUGUUUGGAAUUUUGUCAGUAUUGGUGACUAUUUUGAUAAUAUGGUUACCCGAAACAACUGGGAAAGAAUUGCCCAACACUCUUGAGGAGGUUAAUGAACUUUAUGUCCUCAAGAAAGAUGAUCAUGUAAAUGUUUCUGAUUCAACUAAUAUGAAAUUUUGAAGAUUUCAUGUUUUUUAAUCAGGACAAUUCCUUCUAAACAAAUCCUCAUGAAUUGACUAAUGGUGAUUGAAC